UACGGAGGGUGCGAGCGUUGUCCGGAAUCACUGGGCGUAAAGCGCACGUAGGCGGACUCUUAAGUCGGUGGUGAAAUCCUGGAGCUCAACUCCAGAACUGCCUUCGAUACUGAGAGUCUCGAGUCCGGGAGAGGUGAGUGGAACUGCGAGUGUAGAGGUGAAAUUCGUAGAUAUUCGCAAGAACACCAGUGGCGAAGGCGGCUCACUGGCCCAUAACUGACGCUGAGGCACGAAAGCGUGGGGAGCAAACAGG
rnacentral:rRNA from 1 species